rnacentral:rRNA from 1 species
GGAUGAACGCUAGCGGCAGGCCUAACACAUGCAAGUCGAGGGAGAAGCCCUUUCGGGGGCAGAAACCGGCGCACGGGUGCGUAACGCGUAUGCAACCUACCUUUCACAGGGGGAUAGCCCGAAGAAAUUUGGAUUAAUACCCCAUAAUAUUAUUGGAUGGCAUCAUUUGAUAAUUAAAACUGCGGUGGUGAAAGAUGGGCAUGCGUCCUAUUAGCUAGUUGGAGUGGUAACGGCACCCCAAGGCUACGAUAGGUAGGGGUCCUGAGAGGGAGAUCCCCCACACUGGUACUGAGACAGGGACCAGACUCCUACGGGAGGCAGCAGUGAGGAAUAUUGGUCAAUGGUCGGAAGACUGAACCAGCCAUGCCGCGUGCAGGAAGAAUGCCUUAUGGGUUGUAAACUGCUUUUAUAUGGGAAGAAUAAGGUGUACGUGUACAUUGAUGACGGUACCAUAUGAAUAAGCAUCGGCUAACUCCGUG